rnacentral:tRNA from 1 species
GCGGGUAUCGUAUACUGGUAUUACCUCAGCUUUCCAAGCUGAUGAAGCGGGUUCGAUUCCCGCUACCCGCU